AUCUGGCUGGGCGUAACCAAAACUGCAAGUGAAACUAUUCAGACAUUUUACCUCAAUCAACCAACAGAAAGGUUAGAGUGUCAAAAAUACUGUCAGUCUUUAUAAAUUAAUGUAAGUGUUGAAUGAAACAGCUGAAGGUUGCAGAAAGGUGUGAAUUCUUUCUAUAAAAAGAAAACAUAAACAAAACAC